ACAUACAUCCACUUUUCCACACAAAUACUAUAUACCCUAUUUACUCUUCGAGUACCGGGUAUAAAAAUCAAUGAAAUAAAACAUUCAGUACUCCAACCGAACGAAAAUAAUAUUUAUAAAAAUCCCUGAACAGUUUAAUACAGAUAAAUAAUUAUAAAAUUACAUGAACAGUCUAACACAGAAAAAAUGAUAUCCCUCUGCGUAGCUGUUAAGAUAUAUUUUAUGUUUAACAUUUUUUACAUUUAAGAACUAAUUUAUAAUAAAUGUAAUUACUCUAAUUAGUGUUUACCCAGGCAAUAACAAAUAUAAUGGGUGAUUCGAACUAUAUUAAGUACUACCUACCAGUAAUGCAAUGCAAAUCAAAUGAAACCAAAAUGUUCGUUAACGAUAAGCAAAAUUGUUCCAAUUCUUACGUAUACGUGCAUUAAAACAUAUAAAAGAAAAUAUCAUAUCAGAUCGCCACAAAAAAAUAAAUAUUUCUACAAUAAAAUACAAUAUGCCCUAUUUCCUCUUCCAGUACCAGGUAAAUAGUGACAAAUAAAAAAAAUAUAAAUUUCAAUUCUAUUUUUUGUGGCUAUUUCCCAGCAAUGAGUGAGUACUUUAACACCCAAAUCAAAGUGUUCAGUGAGCGUCUCCGAGCCUCUCAGAUUUGACAUGGAGUCUAUAAGCGAAUUAGUCACGAAGACGACAAUGGGUCGUUCAGGAAAAAAUACAAAACGAAAACCAUUUGGAACCAAAUUGAGGCCUAAUAAACAUCAUAAUUUUUUUUUCUGUUUAAUUUUUUUGUAACCAACUUGUAGGGUUUGUGGAACAACCCAUCGAUUACUUGCAACCCCAUUAAAUGUCUAUCAAACUA